GAUGAACGCUGGCGGCGUGCCUAAUACAUGCAAGUCGAGCGAACAGACGAGGAGCUUGCUCCUCUGACGUUAGCGGCGGACGGGUGAGUAACACGUGGAUAACCUACCUAUAAGACUGGGAUAACUUCGGGAAACCGGAGCUCAUACCGGAUAACAUGUUGAACCGCAUGGUUCAACAGUGAAAGACGGUCUUGCUGUCACUUAUAGAUGGAUCCGCGCCGCAUUAGCUAGUUGGUAAGGUAACGGCUUACCAAGGCAACGAUGCGUAGCCGACCUGAGAGGGUGAUCGGCCACACUGGAACUGAGACACGGUCCAGACUCCUACGGGAGGCAGCAGUAGGGAAUCGUCCGCAAUGGGCGAAAGCCUGACGGAGCAACGCCGCGUGAGUGAAGAAGGUCUUCGGAUCGUAAAACUCUGUUAUUAGGGAAGAACAAAUGUGUAAGUAACUAUGAACGUCUUGACGGUACCUAAUCAGAAAGCCACGGCUAACUACGUG
rnacentral:rRNA from 1 species